UGAUAACCCCGGAGAGAGGCUGGGGUAGAGAUUAGAAGGGCUACGCAGGAAGAGCUGAAAUAUGAGUCCGCCAGCUGUUUAUGGAACCUGAGAACUGAAAAAUCCUGCACGGCCACCUCUGCAGCCUGCGUCACCCACCACCCUCCCUCAGUUGUGUCUGCCGGACUGGGCCGUUCUGGCCCUGACUGCCACCACCACCCUGGCAUGAUGGCAGAACGCUCCUGGCGCUCUUUACCCAGUGUCUGCCUUGUGCCCACACAGCCCCACUCGAGGGCACCAGACCUGGGCGGCUUACAAACAGCAGAACUGUGUUUCUCACAGCUCCAAAGUGUUUCACUUUGAAGAACACCUUAGGAACCAGGGAUUCAAGGGUUUUGAUGACGCAGGACUCCUGUCUGAGCCCCUCAGCGUCUGGAAGGAAGGAGCUCCCCGAAGAACUCCCCGGCCUUGGAGAGCCUCCUGGGUGUGUUCUCCCUUCCCGGGAAAGAGGGGCCGUUUUCUCUGUCAACUCCAAAGCCUUUCCGCCCAGCCCUUCCCUGGUAAAUAGUGGUGCAGAAAUGGGCUGCUUUCAAGUAAAACCCUUCUCUCACCUA